rnacentral:lncRNA from 9 species
GGGGUUCCGGAUGGUGAGCGGCGAAGCAGCCGGGCGCCCGCGUCGCCGCCGCCGCCGGAAGACAGACGCCCCCCAAAGCCCUUCGCCUGGCUCGGACCCACGGAGCCGGCAGACCAGCACUCCGAUGGGAGCUUGCCUGCCUGUCUACCCAUCGGCCUGGACCCCAGAGCCCGCCCAGCUGAGUGCUUGCAGAGGGCCCCGGGUUCGGGGCAACUCUCAGGCCACCGAAGAGACCACCCUGGAAUCAUUGGCGAAGACAGACCUUUCCUGCUGAGCCGGGCUUGUCUACACAGCCUGCUCAGCAUUUCUCCAGUUCUGGCUUGACCUACGGUGGGGGGAGGCAUCAGUUACCGUCACUCCAGUUCUGCCCUGGUCCAACUGGUUUGGCUGUCCCAGAGGGUGUUGGAGUCCUUGUGGUGAACAGACAGACUAACAAGCAGACAGACAUAUUACUUGGGAACAACAACAAAAAAGCAAAAGCCAGAGGUCAUUGUCAUAUCUUGAAGAACUAGGAGGGAGAAAGAGCUGAAUGGGCCAUGGGAAGGCUAGGCUAGGACUGACUGGCCCACAGGCCAGACACAGCUAGGGGAAGCAGCAGAUGUGGGUUCCAGGCCUGACACUGCUGUGUUACCUUGGAUGGGUUGCUGCCUGUUUCUGGGUCUCUCUUCUGCUUCUAACAAAGAGGGAGUUGCCGUUGGUGAUUCUGAAGCAGUGAGAUUCUCAAAGAUACUGCAGCAGUUGUAUAAACAGGGAAGGGUCCUGGGAGCCUUGGGAGUCUGAUUAGAAUAAUAAGAGCCCCCUCCCCUCCUCGGAGACUCCCCCCCAAGCCUCCUCCCCCGCCUCUAGACCUGGGCUCUACUCUGGAUUGAAGCACCAGAGGCCAGCAGCACCCCCUGCCCCCCAAUACACACAAACACAUGUGCUCCCGCAAACCUCAGCCAGGUCUUUUGCCCUCUCUGGACCUUAGGCGUCCAUGCUUGUGUAUUUAGGGGCUCACAUUUGGGCUCUGUGCCGGUGAGCCAGUCUAUGUGUGCACUGUCUGUCUGUCUGUCCGGCUGCCAGCAGCCUUCAGGCGCCAGGAGGGGAGGCAGCAGUCGGGGGAGGUGGGGGCGGGGAAGGAGGUAGCGUUGACAAGUUCCAAUGUCUGGCUUUCCCUCCUGGAAACCCCAAGCUGGGGCUGGCCCCCCCUCCUCUUCCUGUCUCUCUCGCUCAAGCACGUCCCUUCUAAGAGCCCCUCUCUGCAGACACCCCCAGUGGAACCAAGCCCAGAUUUGCUGCCAAGAAGGCCGACAUUUCUUAGACUUGCCACGUUAAAGGGGCCUGCACAGGCACGCACUCAAAUCCCCCUCCAUGUCCUCCUCCUGUGCACAUUCAGACGACCCGAGACACACAAAGACACGGUUGGACACAGCGGCCACCUGUGCACACAGGAGGUAGCACAUGGAGCGCAUCUGACCUCAGGCUCACAGACAAGUACAAACACAGCCGUGUACCGCCCCCCCACACACACUCAGCUCACCACAGACUCCAAAGCACGCAGUUUCCAGCACGCGGUGCUCACAGACACGCACAAACACAGUCACACGCAGGGCCUUGCCGCGCAGAGGAACAAGUGCAAACCCGUAGCAUGUUGUCUCCCUGCACAAGCACAGCCAUCGCCACCACCAGGGCUGCUGCUGCCCGGUACAGACACAACCCCAGGAACACGACCCGUGCCGCCUGUUCCUGGUACGCACAGCCGAGCCCAGUCACACAGAGCGAUCCCCUGCAUCACCAGAGAGAAGAGUCCGCCGGGCACAGAGACACCCUGUGCCCACGCCCUGGACUUUUGGACCAGUCCACACUGUUACACAGCGUCUUCCUGGGCACGGAGACCUGCCUGAAGUCCCACUGCACGCAGGGCUCCCCUGUGCAUGCACAAUCACUGUCCCUGGGGCACACGCAGAUGAGCUCCAGCUCACACACAGUUACAUUGUUAGCCUCUUGUACACAAUAACAAGUUCACAGGGGCCCCAAUGCACCUGGACGUGGGGCGAGUACGCAAACUCAGACACACAUGCGAAGCCUUUUAUGCACACAUGGAGUCCUCGUCACUCACAGUGUCCUUCCAUGUGCACCCACUGCUACAUGCAGCGUCUCUCUGAACGCAGGCAUGUGUUCGAUCUCAGUGCACACAGCUUUCCCUUGUGCUUACACAAACACUCAGUGUCCUUCGUGUAUCACAAACCAACACACACACACACACACAGCAUCGCCUGUGCAUGCUGAGACAAACACUGACUCACCAAUCAGCCCCCCCCCCACGCUCUUCCCUGCACACACAAGUGCACGCUCGCACAGAUAAGACAACACACCCAACAGCCCCUAGCCCCCAGCCCCAGCCUCCCGCCUCUCUUUCUUGUCUGAUGAGGGUGAGGAAGGACUGGGAAGGUUGAGGAUGGCUUGGCUCUUGUUCCCUCCCUCCACCGGCUGGCUCGCUCCCUCCUGUCUGGCAGAGUCAGCCAGCCCAGCCCGGCUCCGGCAGCCCUGGCUGUUCUGGGCAAACUCUCGGCGGGUUGGUCUCGGCUGAUGCCGCAGCAGCAGCAGCAGCAGCAGCAGCAGGGGCGAGAAGGCUGCGGGCGGCUGCCAACGUGGCAGACGGCGGGCAGGGCGGCAGGAAGGAAGCUGGGCCCAUUCUGCGCCCACUCACUGGGGGAGACAAAACCAAAGGGGGCUGGAUGAGCAAGCGAGGCAGCUGGGCAGGGGGACUUCAUGCCCAGCCUGGGCUCUGAGCCUGCAUUGGCCCCAGACUCACUGGGUGACCUUGUGGAACUUGCUCCCCCUCUCUGAUCCUGUUUCCUCCUCCUUCAGCAAGUGAACAGUCUGGUCUAGAUGCUUCUUUCAGCUCCCAAACCUUGUAUCCAAUUCGGUGCAGAACUCAUGGGAGGGUUCACUCUGUGGCCUCGGGCUAGUCCCCUUUCAGGGACAGCUUUUCAGUCCAGCAGUUAAAAAUGCCUCACUCUGUACUGCUGUCACCAUUGGCAAUAGGUUUUCCUUCUACAAAGGUAGCACCAUUUUACAGAUAAGAAAACUAAGGCUCAGAGAUGCACCGGAGGUUGCCCAGUCAGUGAGUGCGGCAGAACUGGGACAGCAGCUCGGGGCUUCUGAUUGAGUCUCUAAAAUCAAUGUUGCCUCAUUCAUCUUCCAGACAUCCCACCCCCCACGGGUACCUCCGGCUGCCCCUCAGAGGCCUCCCCACCCCCUGGGCCCUGGCCCCUCCCUCCCCAGAGCCACCUGGUUCUGCCCUGGGGAGUCAGGGUGCAAAGGCCAGACAGGCCUCCCACCAGCAUUCCAGCUGCCACUGGGAACACAGCUGUCAGCAGGGCCAAGAGAGCCAAAAGCCACCUCCCAAGCAGGCCCACAUAAUUGGUACAUUGUCAACUCAAAAACAGAGCUGCUGUGGGAUCUUGGGCAAGCCACAGUCCUCUCUGGGCUUUGGUUUCUUCAUCUGACUGCAGUGGAUUAGACGAGAUGCUUUCCAAGGGGCCUCUCAGCUUGGAAUGUUGCCUCGGGAGUGACUGAGGAGAAACAAGGCUGGGGGGAGGCAGCUGUCCCAAGGUGUGGGCGAUGGGUGUGCCUCAGGUGUCAGAACCCAGGAAUCUGGCCUUUGUAUCACCUGUUUGCUGGGGUCACAUCUGGGCCUUCUCACACAUCUCUGCAGGAUGGCUGGGUGGACGGACAGAUGGACAAACAAAGGUAUGCAGGAGAGAGGCAAAGGAGGCCCUUAAGCAGUGCUCUGGGGCUGAGCACCCCCUGCGGAGGAAAGAGGACAAAAGGCAGAGGGAGCCUUCCCCCCCCACCUCCUUUGUAGACCAACCUCUCCAGCAGCAUACUCUGCCCUGCCCUGCCCCACAGGGUGGUCUGCUGGGAGGACAAAGGUGGGACAGACAGUGACAGGGUGUGUGUGUGUGUGUGUGUGUGUGUGUGUGUGUGUGUGUGUAAAUGCUGUGAGAUCAGUCCUGGGGACUAUGGAGGAGACACCCAGCUCAGCUGUGAGAGUGAAGAAAGACCUCUACUCCCAGAGGCCCAGAGUCACAAUAUUGAGCUCAGGCUCCUAGGAUAGAUCAGAGUAAGCCGGGAGAAGUGGGCAUGUUCAAAUGUGUGCCUAUAUGGGUGCAGUUACUAUCCCAUUUUACAGAUAGGGAGAUCGAUGCUCAGACGUGGCGAGACAGAAUCAGGCCUUAUAUCCAGGGCUGUCUGACUGCAAAGCCAGUGUUUUUUGUGCUAGGCCACAGGCCACGCUGCCUCCCAAAGGAGAGAAUUGCUAAUGGUGGCAUUUCAGAUUUCAGAUGUAGUGACAGCAAACUAGGGAAGAGGUUCUGGACAGAUGGUUCCCAAUCAGGUCCCUGCCUCGGGCUAGCAGAGCAGAGGUUUGUCAGGGCAGGCAGAGCGCCCUCCCCUCCAUUCCUCUCGUGUGUGGGAUGCAGGCAGGUUCCCCCCAACACACUCUCCUCACCAUCCCCCUCCAGCCCUUUGGCCCUGCCUGGGUGACCUGCAUGAGCUCAGCUUCCCAGCAGCCCUGCGGAGGAGUCAGCCAGGGCACAGGCUGCCUCUGCCCUCUCACUGCUUGGCAGUGCCAAGGGAGGUGGGGCUGCUGAGGGGUGGGGUGGGGGGAGCCUCCCAGCCACCAGACCUCCAGUUCCGUCUCCCACCUUAGGUGCCCCUGGGGUUUGCUGCAGAGGCCCGGGCUGGGACAGGUGGUGUGGGGCUGGGGCAUGCUGGUCAGGCCCAUCCCUGUCCCCCAUCCCCGUUGCUGCAGCCUUGUUGAGCUGCCAUUAACAAGUGGCCGGAGGUUGCCGUGUCUCCAUGGAGACCAGACAGUCAGUGCGGCUCGGCUCGGGGUGAGGGCCGUGAUUAGUGAGUGUCAGCUUUGCCAGCCCUGCUCUUCCCACCGCCCGCCUCUGGGCUCUGAGACAACAGGCCCGGCUGAGGGUGGGAAGGACAGGGAGGGGGCUCUGGGCCCCCACAGGCAGGGGGCUUCCAAGCCUGGCCCCAGGUACUGUCUUUGUCUCCCCUACUGUCGCCUCAAUUCCCCCUGCCUCCCUCCCCAAUCCAUCUUCCGCACAGCCCCCAGGGUGAGCUUUCUAAAACACAAGCUGAAUCCCGACACUGCCUCCUUUCAGAAUUUCCCAUGGCUCCCCAGGCCUUUGAGGCUAAGAGUCAAAUUCCUUAUCAUGGCAUUCAAGGCCUUCCUUCCUUCCCUCAUUCAUACCAGAAAAUCUUGUUUUGAGCACCUACUGCAUUUCAGAGAGCCUGCCAGGUGUGUGCGGUCGAUAAAGCAAGCAAGAUCUGCCUUCGUGGAACUUCCCAUCUAUUGAGAAAGACACAUUAUAAGCAACAUACAGGGAUUCCCGUUGUGGCGCAGUGGAAAUAAAUCUGACUAGGAACCAUGAGGUUGUGGGUUCGAUCCCUGGCCUUGCUCAGCAGGUUAAGGAUCUGGCUUUGCAGUGAGCUCUGGUAGAGGUGUAGGUCACAGAUGCAGCUCGGAUUUGGUGUUUCUGUGGCUGUGGCGUAGGCCGACAGCUGUGGCUCCGAUUCAACUCUUAGCCUGGGAACCUCCAUAUGCCGUGGGUGCAGCCCC